CGUUUGAAGGAUGACUGUUUGGUCUUAUCUACUCAAUUACCAGGGAGACGCAUGGCUUUCUUGGGGAUGGUUCUAAUUUAAUGCUAUAAUAAUUGCCUACCGUUACAAUUAAUAUGCAUUUUAACGUUAUGAUAUUAAGGGACAUAAAUCCUGCAGUAAUCAAUUAAUUAACUACAAAUAAAACAAUAAGCCUACAAUUAGAACACUGAUCUCUCUUCUAUCCCUGUCAACGCUCCGUUUUCUCUUCCAAAGUGAAACGCUCACAAAUCAACCUCAGCAUGGAUACAAAACCGAACUUCUCUUUCACUCAUCACACAGACAAACGAGACCCUUUUCUUUCUCAACCUGCUACCUUACCUAGAUCUAUCGUUAAAUCAGAAACCAAAGAAAAAAACAAGCAUCGAUCAUCAAUCAAUACCAGAUAACAAUAACCUCGAUUUGAAAUUCCACCAACGAUUUUACCGACCAAACAAAGUCCGGCAGCAAAGACAAUGAGAAAGUGUACCGAUUGAAGCUUUGGCCUAUCCAGAUUCCGACGAUCCUUCAAGCAGAUCCUUACGUGAUUCACGGUCGUGGGUGCUCACCGAGGGGUUCAGUCCGACUACCUCAGAGUUUCGGCGAGAAACUCUGAAUAGUUUUUUGUGAUUUGGACUUUGAGGAAUUCAGGUAAUGAUUUUCGGCAGAGUAACAGUAGGGGGUCCUUUUUUCAGUGGAUUUCACUCCCUUCUUAUAGAGAGGUGGUACGAGGUUCAUGUGAUGGUGUGAGCUGGCGGAUCCAGCAAAUCAUUCCGUUAGCAUGAAAUCUUUUCUUUAGAUUUUGGUAGGGACCAAAUAUUCCUGAUUUUGUAAAGAGCAACCUUGUUUUCAUCUGUAGUGAGUGAGCAUUUUUCUGGGAGUCAUGUGGUCCCAUAAAUUUGGUGUUAUCCCAAGGAGUUCUUACUGCGGUAAAAACGUGAAUUGAUCCUUUGUAGGACUUUAAGCACCAUUGUGAAAUUUAGACUUAAUUAAUGUAUACCUGUAAUCCUUCUGGUUCUCCUUCUGGUGUAAUAGUUGUUGUAACCUUGUUUUCUCCGUUAAGCCUUGUUUUGCAACUAUGGAUUAUGGUUCUCAUGGUCUGAUGGAUGAAGCUUUUUAUGCAGGUCUUAGGUCAUGGCUUAGGUGGUUAGUAACUUGAUUGUACUGAUUGAUGUUUCAGGCUGUGUGGACCUUUUGAGUACUUUUGAUCAAGGCUUUAAGUGAAGUUCAACUCGUGUCCAGAUUAUUGCAUUAUCCGUGGCCUUACAACUUCCGUGCAAUGAGUUUUUUCUUGGCAAGUCUACAGAGAUUGCAGCACCAGGCUUAUGUCCCAUAUGCCAUUAUGCUGGUAUGCAUAUUUGGACUUAGGUUUUGCAACAUGAAGCUUGCCUUGACAUGGUUCCUGCUUCCAUUCGCCAUUGUGCCUUUGUUAGUUCACAUCAGUUGGUAUGGCCUGCUUUGACUCAUUUUCACUUCGAAGAGCUGUGCCUGCUAUAACCAUCUUCCUGCUUGAACAUCACCUUGGCAUUGAUGACAUUGCAUCCAAUUGAGGGUGACAAAGCUCUUUGAUCCAAAAACCUGUGUCGAUGCGUCUGGUUUGGGCUUUGUUUUGUCAACCAUUGUAGCACUCACUGUUUGUGUCUGCUGGACAAAGCAAAGUACGGCAUGAUGGCUGAAUUGUUGUGGCUCGUGUAUUCGAAGCACAACUCUGUUGUUGCAGGAAAAUCAGUUUUGAAUACCAUGACAUUGUAAUAACCAUGUACAUUUUUUAAGCUUUGUCUUCAGUUGUAGGUUCAGUCUAAGUGUAUGCUCCGCUCCAUUCAUGUUGAUUUUAGUGUUCUUAAUGAUGGUAUAUAACACUACUGUUUGAAAAAAAGUGUGAUUGAUUCCAAUCACCUUGUAAUGCCAAACACUUGGUUUUCUUUGCAGGGUCUAAUUCCUCAAAACAAACUGUAGGGCAUGUUAUUGGCUUGUGGACCUUGUAGUUGGACGGUAAUGCAGGCUGGAAAAUGUUCCUUGUGGUAACAGAGACGCAGGCUGGUUUAAAUCAAUUUAUCACCAAGAAUGGCACUUUGACAAAAUGAGAAAGAAGUCGAUGCACACCUUAUUCGUGCUAUGAGGUUUUCUGUCGCCUGUUGUGUGUGUUGCUGUUUUUUAAUUGUGCAGGUGGCAGUAUGCGUGCGGCUCGUAACCUUUGGGAGAAAAUAGCACAAGGAGUUUGUUGCAGUCAAUAUACCCGCUGUUUCCGGCUUGACAUGAAGUUAUGUAUUUGAAUCAUAGGCUAGGACUUUCCCUUUGGCAAUUUGCAAACAGUUGUAACUCAUAUUUGUAACACAUUAACAUAUGGACGUGUAUGUAUUAUUCUUCAAAUUUGUGCAUUCCUAUAUGCUUGAAUUUUAGCAGUAAACAUGAUGUUCAUUGUGGGUAAACAUGCCUGAGUUGGCUUUGUAGAUAUAGUAUGAACAAGAUUUGUGUAUUGGUUCACAAAGGUUCCUGUAAUGUAAUUUUGGCUUUUGAAAUGAACAUGGUUUAUAUUAA